rnacentral:rRNA from 1 species
GAUGAACGCUGGCGGCGUGCCUAAUACAUGCAAGUCGAGCGAACAGAUGAGGAGCUUGCUCCUCUGACGUUAGCGGCGGACGGGUGAGUAACACGUGGAUAACCUACCUAUAAGACUGGGAUAACUUCGGGAAACCGGAGCUAAUACCGGAUAAUAUAUUGAACCGCAUGGUUCAAUAGUGAAAGACGGUUUUGCUGUCACUUUUAGAUGGUUCCGCGCCGCAUUAGCUAGUUGGUAAGGUAACGGCUUACCAAGGCAACGAUGCGUAGCCGACCUGAGAGGGUGAUCAGCCACACUGGAACUGAGACACGGUCCAGACUCCUACGGGAGGCAGCAGUAGGGAAUAUUGCGCAAUGGGCGAAAGCCUGACGGAGCAACGCCGCGUGAGUGAUGAAGGUCUUCGGAUCGUAAAACUCUGUUAUUAGGGAAGAAAAAAUGUGUAAGUAACUAUGCACGUCUUGACGGUACCUAAUCAGAAAGCCACGGCUAACUACGUG